rnacentral:rRNA from 1 species
UACGGGGGGGACUAACGUUAUUCAUCAUAACUGGGCGUAAAGGGUAUGUAGGUGGCUUAUUAAGUCUUUUUUAAAGAAUCUGAGCAUAACUCAGAAAUUAAUAGAGAUACUGGUAAGCUUCGAGGUCAAUAGAGGUUAGUUAUAUUCUUGAAGUAAAAGUAAAAUCUUUAGAUAUCGAGAGGAUAACCAAGAGGAUAAUGCGACUUUCCGGAUUGAUGCUGACACUGAGGUACGAAGGUAUGGGUAUCAAACGGG